CCGCAUGGGAUAAUUAUUAAAGAAUUUCGGUUGUCGAUGGGGAUGCGUUCCAUUAGGCAGUUGGCGGGGUAACGGCCCACCAAACCUACGAUGGAUAGGGGUUCUGAGAGGAAGGUCCCCCACAUUGGAACUGAGACACGGUCCAAACUCCUACGGGAGGCAGCAGUGAGGAAUAUUGGUCAAUGGACGAGAGUCUGAACCAGCCAAGUAGCGUGAAGGAUGACUGCCCUAUGGGUUGUAAACUUCUUUUAUACGGGAAUAAAGUGAGCCACGUGUGGCUUUUUGUAUGUACCGUAUGAAUAAGGAUCGGCUAACUCCGUGCCAGCAGCCGCGGUAAUACGGAGGAUCCGAGCGUUAUCCGGAUUUAUUGGGUUUAAAGGGAGCGUAGGCGGGUUGUUAAGUCAGUUGUGAAAGUUUGCGGCUCAACCGUAAAAUUGCAGUUGAUACUGGCGACCUUGAGUGCAACAGAGGUAGGCGGAAUUCGUGGUGUAGCGGUGAAAUGCUUAGAUAUCACGAAGAACUCCGAUUGCGAAGGCAGCUUACUGGAUUGUAACUGACGCUGAUGCUCGAAAGUGUGGGUAUCAAACAGGAUUAGAUACCCUGGUAGUCCACACAGUAAACGAUGAAUACUCGCUGUUGGCGAUAUACGGUCAGCGGCCAAG
rnacentral:rRNA from 1 species